GUCAGGUACGGUUUCAAAACUUAAACAGGAACUUCUUUCUUUGCCGGUUUCUCCGGACCAACAGAACUUUGCAAUCUUCCCAAGAACACCUUAAGAGAACAAAAAUCUACUUAAGAAUCACCUGAAUCUGACCUAGCGGAUUUGCGGCAUCCGGUCACGAGGCAUUGGCGUGUUUGGCGCAUCAGCAAAAUUACAGCAAUAACUCAUGGAGGAGAAAGAAAAGGAGCUGAGAGAUGCCGCCGGGCGAGGUGACGAGGUCAGAGUUCAGCAGCUCCUAGCCGAGGGAGUCAAUGUCAAUGCUGAAGACGGCGGCCCC